UGAGGUUGCGAUGAGGAUAAAUAAGCUCCCUCUUCUGAACUGUAAAGUUGAGGAAAAAUGCUGGCAGAAUCGAACCUAUAACUUACUUAUGCCACCACUGAGUAG